rnacentral:lncRNA from 1 species
GGGCUGAUGCAGAGAUAACAGAGAAAAAAUGUUUGAGUGACAGAGAUGAAGGAGAAAAGAUUGAGAGGGAUGCAAGAGGUGAAAAAGGGUUUGGGGUUUUUUUUUAGUUUUGAGAAUGAAAAUUAUUAAAAUAAGGCAAGCGUUUCUGAUUUUUUUCGAUUGUGACUAGAGUAGGGAUGAGAAAGGGUUGACAGGAAUGAGAGAGGUGGGUAAGGGUUUGUGGAGUUUCUUUUUUUAUUUUUUUAAUUUUGAGAAUGAAAAUUAUUAAAAUACCCUUAACCUUAAAACUUAGAAUUCAUGAUAUAAGGGUAUUUUUGUCUACUGAAAUCCGGUACACAUUGCUAAAAUGUACCAACUGAAAAACAGACGUACGCAAGUUAGCAAAC